GGCCAGGAGCUGUGUGAUAUGUUUGAUAUUCGGUUGUUCUACAGCAUAAUAAAUCAACUAAAUAUCAGACAUAUUCCUACAGAUCCUGAGC
rnacentral:pre_miRNA from 1 species